UCAAUUUGGACGACAUCGUGAUGACAUAUGUCUAUUAAAUGAAAAAAAUACACACUUGCAUUAGUUUACUCUUCGUCUUCGUCUCCGUCCCCAGCACAAAAAAAAUUUUAUGCGUUCUCAGACAACAUCAAUGAAGUCUCAAGUUUCUGGUUAACUCAAAUCGACGUGAAGAAUUCCUUUGUUGGUCUUCAAUCGCAUCGUUUAGCCUUCAUUUCUAAUCAACCGAAACACUUUGAGUUACAUAUUCAUCGCCUUUAUCACUUUCUUAACUCCGUAGACCGACGUGAACACGAUCUGACAUUAAAUGCGACUUAACCCUCUGCAAAUCGGUGUAUUUGCACUUAUAAAAAGAAGUUCGGCUGCUGCUCCUCCACCGUCCAACUAAGAGGAGAUCGAGAUGUUGUGAACAGCUUUGUCGGCUUUCAUGUCUAAAUAAGAAGAGAUCGAGACAAAGAAGAUGGAGGUUUGGAAAAUGAUUUAAUCUCAGCUUUGUUGUGUAGAAGAAGAAACCGAAUGAUUGGUGAUGGAAUUGCCUUUGUUGACAGUAAAGAAGAUAUAUUUGUUGAUGCUCCCGAAGAGUUGAAUUUCGACACACCCAGCAAGGAAGCUCUCACUACAGACUACGAUGAUGACAAUAGAAAUCAAUUUAGUAGAUACUUGAUUUUUUUAAAAGUUAAUUUGUAUUUAUUGAAAAAUGAUCUUUGUUCUGAUUUGUUCAUUUAUGUUCGUUUUCUACCAUUCAUAGGAUAGGGAGAAGGAACUUUCAGUGUUGCAGGAAUAGUUUAACCUCUUGGCUGCCGAGAAGAAUGAAGAUGGGAACACCGUGGAGAUACUCAGUCGCUUCUUCGAGUUUCUAGAUACUGCCGACGAAGAGAAGGUUCAGCAUGAGGAUGCAAUCAAGGAGCUUCGUGGGAUUAUCAGUGGGAAGGACGAGUAGGUUGCUCAUCUCACCACAAAGAUCUCAGAGCUUUCUUUGUCACAGAAUGAGGACCAACUUGAAGCUGCAACUCAUAGGAUUCUGCUUUCUUUUAGUAAUGUGUUUGGGCAAAAAGAGCCGCAAGAUGGCUCUUCUGUCUCUGAAAAAAUUUGCUUAUCUGGAGAGUGGAGUUUCUUUUUAAGUGCUAAGUACGCUGAGUUUUAUUACGAUGCUUCAAUCAAAUAACACUUAAUCUCCUGAUAUUUAUAUGAACAAAAAUUUACA